rnacentral:lncRNA from 1 species
CGGUAGAAAAAAUGUAAAGUUGGAAUUAUGUCCUCUUUUCUAGUUUCUCUGGUGUUAAUAUUUUCUGGAAAGCAUCCUCAAGGCUUGUCCUAGCUACCGUCUUCCUAACAUUGUCCCAGGUGUUGCAGUUACUAAUGUGAGCAAGACGUCCUCCUAGCCUUCGCGAGUGUACCCAAGAGUUAUAUAAAGGAUAUUCUGGGAGCCAGGAGAAGGAGCAAAUAAAGCAGACUGCACAGAUGGAGCAUGGAAAGUCUUUUAACAGAAACGAAUACUUUCAGACCCGUUUUGAAGGACUGAGUAGGAGUAAACUAAAAGAGAAAAAGCAGGACAAAAGAAGCAGCACUUUGGAAGCUCAAAGCCGCACUGGAAACACAGCCUUUCAGGAUGUCUGAAAGAAAGGGGCAAGUCUGUUUGUGUGGGGUAAGAAAUGCGGGGAGACAAACGGACAGUGGACAGAUUGCAGAAGGCUCUAUGUGCUGAGACGAGGGUGCAGACCAGAGUUUUAAACCGAGAAUGCAACAGGGAAGGAUUUCAAGCUUGGAGUGAGAGGGAAGACUACGAGCGUGCAGUGAUAAGGCAAAGCUGAAGAUUCCAGAGCAAAGGCCACGCCCUACAGUUGCCAUGGAAUGGGGUGGCUCAGUGGGCUUUGGAGGGAAGCUCACGAAGGGACUGUCAUUCACCAGCAAACCCCUGCCCCCUCACUUUUUCUUUUUUGUAAUUGGAAGUUCAGGUUGAACUGCUCUGUAGUUAUUCACCCACUUCUGCUGGUCAAAGGCCCACGAGGAUUUAAAUGACUAAAUAGGCCAUAAAAUGCCAACCUUUUAGAAGUCUCAAAAAUGUCUGCUGGAUCAAACAGUCAGCAUGAACCACCCUUAGAUUCCUCUGCCACCCACUUUGCUCCCUGUGUCUGGGACACCCUGAGUCCACAGUGACUCUGUGCCAAACUAUAAAGAAACCACCAUGUACCUUUUCAAAAAUGUCCACUUGUCCUUAAAGUCACGAAUCACGGAAGAGAUGGCUUCCAGAUAUGCAACUUCACUUCCGACGCCAUCACCCUCUAAAAUUUCCCUGUGUUUUCACUGAAGUCAUGCACCCACUUCUGCUGGUUCCUGGCUCACAUAAACAUUGAGCAAGUAACUUUCCAUUAGACCCAGAGGAUGGACUAGGAUAGACUUCUGAAUGCCUGAAAAUUCCUGGUCCUCAACAAACCUGUGUUCUGCUCAAUAAUUUAUUUUGUAAGAAGAAGUUAUAAUAAGUCUAGUCAUUAAAUCAAAAGAGAAAAACCUUAAUUAAGUAUAAUAUUGUUGGUACUUGUAUUUGUCCGUUCCAUUUCUUCAUUAACUUUUUGAUUGGUAAAAUAAAGAUCAUUACACAA